rnacentral:rRNA from 1 species
UACGUAGGGGGCGAGCGUUGUCCGGAAUUAUUGGGCGUAAAGAGCGUGUAGGCGGUUCGGUAAGUCUGCUGUGAAAACCUGGGGCUUAACCCCGGGCCUGCAGUGGGUACGGGCAGACUAGAGUGCGGUAGGGGAGACUGGAAUUCCUGGUGUAGCGGUGAAAUGCGCAGAUAUCAGGAGGAACACCGGUGGCGAAGGCGGGUCUCUGGGCCGUAACUGACGCUGAGGAGCGAAAGCGUGGGGAGCGAACAGG